UGCAGUGCCCUUGGUCUUUUGAAAGAUUGCAGCAUGCAUGAGAUGACUAAAAAAGCUCAUGUUUAAGCAAUAGCACGCCGCCAAAAAGGCGGGCUUGUGCACUUCAAAUACACACACGCGCCGCGCUCAAGGUUUACCGGGUGCAUCAGUCAUGAUCAAGCACUCACUAACAAUAAGCUGGAAAAAUCUUUUUUUUCUCCCUCGUCAUUUAGAUAGACUGCAACCAUUUACUGCCGGCUGGAGUGACCGUCCUUAUGAAUCUGUACCUGCUGCACAGAGAUCCACGUUAUUUCCCCGAACCAGAUAAAUUCAAGCCAGAGCGUUUUAUGGGAGCAGAAAACACUACGAAGCAUCCCUUUGCCUACAUUCCAUUCAGCGCUGGCUCGAGAAAUUGCAUUGGUCAGAGGUUUGCUAUGAUGCAGCUCAAGAUCAUUAUGUCAGAAGUAUUAUGUAAUUACAUAGUUCACUCGCCCGUGCCUGAAAGUGAUCUCAAUUUGCUUGGUGAACUGGUUUUGGUAAAUAAAGAAGGCAUUCAAAUUUCGCUCACAACAAGAUAAAGAUACAUGCAACUGUGCAAACUAGGGUUAUGUAAUGGUGCAUUUAAUUUAAUUUUAGGAUUAUUUUUUUCUUAAGAGGGCUUGACUUGAACAUUUUAUGUAAUUCUUUUGUGAAACAGACUGCUUUACAUUUAUAAUAAAAACAUAAGAUUUUAUUCUUUUGAAA